CUUCAGCUGGUUCACAUCAAUCAGUCCUGGUCUUCUGAGAUCAAACCAUGCUGGCCGUACUGGCUUGUGAUCAGCCCGCUUUGGAAUCCUUGUGAGUGGUAUGAUAGUUUCACCAAUAAUCUCAUCUUUGUUUUGUGCUACACGGUCUUCAAUUCUUAUGAUCAAGUCUUCCUCAAAAGGCUCUGCUGCGACAAACAUCAUCUCUUCAUUCCACAUGAAGUUUUUGGUUGGUGAGCGAACUUGCCUUGUCUUCAACAAUUGGUUGCCCAGCCUCACUUUUACAAAUACAUCAGGUAUGUGGUUCUCCAUUGGGAAUAUAUCCUGUGCCUCAAUUACAUUGACCCUCACGUACCACAUUCUUGGUGCAGGGUAGACCUUCCCACGGAUAUAAUUGUGAAGAUGGGAAUCAACUGGCGUUGAUCCUGCAUGGAUGGCGCUUGGGAAGCAUUCAUCUGCUUGAGUACCAUACCAGACUGCAAGCAUCAACUCUCCUCUGUCCCUCAUUCCAUCCUUGCCC
rnacentral:lncRNA from 1 species